rnacentral:rRNA from 1 species
GUCUUUUUGUUUUUUAUAUAAGGUCAGACCUGCCCAAUGAAUUUUAAAUGGCCGCAGUACUUUAACUGUGCAAAGGUAGCAUAAUAAUUUGUUUUUUAAUUGGAAACUAGUAUGAAUGGUCAUACGAGGGAUUGACUUUCUUUAUCUUACUUAAAUUAAUUUUAUUUUUCUGUGAAAAAGCAGAAAUUUCAUUAGUAGACGAUAAGACCCUUUAAAACUUUAUUCAUUAUAGAAGUAUAAUUUUGUUAGGUUUUAAUAGUGUACUUUUUUAAUUAGUUUUGUUGGGGCGACAGGUAAAUUUAUUUAACUUUAUUUUUGUUUUUCACUAAUUAGUGUUUAUUUGAUCCAGAUUUAGUUUUGAUUAUAAGUUUAAGUUACUUAA